rnacentral:rRNA from 1 species
AGAGUUUGAUCCUGGCUCAGGACGAACGCUGGCGGUGUGCUUCACACAUGCAAGUCGAGCGAAUGAAGUAGGUAGCUUGCUACUUAUGGAUUUAGCGGCGGACGGGUGAGUAAUAUAUAGGAAUCUGCCUUAGAGCGGGGAACAACAGACCGAAAGGUUUGCUAAUGCCCCAUAGGUAUGCAGUCUUCGGAUUGUAUAUUAAAGGAGUAAUCCACUCUAAGAUGAGCCUGUAUCCGAUUAGCUAGUUGGCGGGGUAAAGGCCCACCAAGGCUACGAUCGGUAGUUGGUCUGAGAGGAUGAUCAGCCACAAUGGGACUGAGACACGGCCCAUACUCCUACGGGAGGCAGCAGUGGGGAAUUUUACACAAUGGGGGAAACCCUGAUGUAGCGACACCGCGUGCACGAAAAAGCCUUUUGGGGUGUAAAGUUCUGUCGGCUGGAACGAAAAAAAUGACGGUACCAGCAAAGGAAGCAUCGGCUAACUACGUGCCAGCAGCCGCGGUAAGACGUAGGAUGCAAGCGUUGUCCGGAUUUAUUGGGCGUAAAGAGUUCGUAGGCGGUUAUUUAAGUCUGAUGUUAAAUACUGUGGCCCAACCACAGAACUGCAUUGGAUACUGGAUGACUUGAGUGCGGUAGAGGCAAGUGGAAUUCCCAGUGUAGCGGUGAAAUGCGUAGA